rnacentral:rRNA from 1 species
AGCGCAGGCGGUUUCUUAAGUCUGAUGUGAAAGCCUUCGGCUCAACCGAAGAAGUGCAUCGGAAACUGGGAAACUUGAGUGCAGAAGAGGACAGUGGAACUCCAUGUGUAGCGGUGAAAUGCGUAGAUAUAUGGAAGAACACCAGUGACGAAGGCGGCUGUCUGGUCUGUAACUGACGCUGAGGCUCGAAAGCAUGGGUAGCAAACA